GUCAAUUUAAGAGAAAUUAUAAUCAACUAUAGUUGAAUCCAGAUCCCCGACAUUACAGUCGCAUAUCCAUCGAGAAAGGGCUAUAUCUCCACCGAUCAUGUGUUGAAUCCGAAAGUUGUGAGGGUGAUUUGUUCCAUCGCCGCCGUCUCAACCACUCCCCAACUUCUACAUGCCAAUCACUCUCAGGUGAAGAAAGGACGCAAAUCACUUGCGUCAACCACCAAUUACCACUCUGCCACAUCAGAUCGCCGCUACGGAUGCCUAAAUGGUUUAAGAGAAAAUUAAUAUAAAAAUCAACUACACUCCACAAUAUAUCGAAAAUCAACUACAAACAACAUUUUUAUCGAAAAUCAUGAACACAGAUCUAAACCGAAUCUGAAAAUUCGAUCUAAAAUUGGCUACAGAUAGGAUGAAUUAACACCUUUGCUCCGAUGAGUUAUCGAAACAUAAGUUGUCGGCGUUUUUUAUUACCGGUUUCAUCCUCGGGCUGAAUGAAUCGGCAAGAGCCGCGACUCGAGGCAAUCAGAGAUAGAGAUUGUUGCCUAUACGGCUUCUGGUAUUUGGACAGACUCAAAAAGAGUACAGGAUUAACGAGGGCACCGUCGGGCGAUGACGACGGCGGUGGACAGAGGGCAGAGACGGCGGUGGUGGACGAAGGGCAGCGACGGCGGUGGUAGACUGAGGGUGGCGGUGGGCAUAUGGAUCUGGUUUGGAGUUGGAGAUAGAAACGAGAGAGAUAGUGGCUGCUGGAGAGAAAAGGGAGAUGAGGAAGAGAAAUAGGGUUUGUUGGUUUUAUAUAAUAAUUAAGGGUAAUAUAGACACACCACUUAAAAUUUUAAUUAUGUUAAAUUAAAAUAUAAAAUAAGGGGGUUCUCGCUAAUAUUUAAAAUAAUGUUAUAUCCAUUCUAAUAUAGUCAAAUGUAUUGGGGUGUUUUCACUAAUUAUCCCUAAAUUCAAAGAAAUUACCCCUAUAACGUGUGCAUCUAGAUUUUGGUAAGGUUUGAAAAAAAAAGUUGGUUAUAAAUAAUAAUGUUAAUUUACCUAGCCUUUACCAAUAGGGUAAUGGUCUAGGGUUCGAGUCCCCCCCUCCCCUACUUCCCCUUGUAAUGGAC
rnacentral:lncRNA from 1 species